UACAGAGGGGGGCAAGCGUUGUUCGGAAUUACUGGGGCGUAAAGGGCGCGUAGGCGGCCUGUUAAGUCGGACGUGAAAUCCCCGGGCUCAACCCCGGGAACUGCGUCCGAUACUGGCAGGCUUGAAUCCGGGAGAGGGAUGUGGAAUUCCAGGUGUAGCGGUGGAAUGCGCAGAUAUCAGGAGGAACACCAAUGGCGAAGGCAGCUCGCUGGGACGGUACUGACGCUGAGACGCGAAAGCGUGGGGAGCGAACAGG
rnacentral:rRNA from 1 species